rnacentral:lncRNA from 1 species
CUUUGUUAUAGGCAGACACGAAGGCUGUAUCAUGAAGUGUAUCAUAGUAAAGAACUCUAAAAAUGCACUGGUGGUCAAAGAGAUAUUUAAAAUGAAGACCAAUUAAUGUCAGCAAGUAUCGGGAUGUUUGGAAAAGGAUGUAUUAUAUCAAUGGAAAUAUUCAAUUGCUCAAACUGGCUAAUGAAGAUGUUAACACAACUGACAAUGUGCAAUUUUAAAAUUAUUUUGUGGUCAGUGAUGCAAAUAUAUGGAUUUUGAACAGGUAAAUCGAGUUACCAAUUCCAUAUGCCCUGUUUCAUGUCUUGGAUCAACAUAUUUAACCUAUUCCCCCUGACGACUAAAAUAAUUUGGCAUUAGACAGUGAUAGUAAAAUAAUGUCUGGCGCAUCCAGGUUCAUAAUUGGCUGUCAAUCUGCAUGGUUAUAGUAUUGAAGUGUCUGUGUCAGUGUAGAUAGUGCCAAUAACAUCAACAAGCUUUUGUUGGUCAGGAUGCAACUACCUGAAACAUAUAAGGAUAAUUUAAACGUUUCAAGCAAAGGCCCCUUGUCUGGAGUUACUUGGCUAGGAAUGCUUGAAACAUUGAAAAUCUUAUAUUUUUCAGGUAGGUGUAACUCCACCAAAGACAGAUUGUGUUCACAAUAGUCUGGCUUCCUCACACCAGCAUUACAUUUGAACUGAGACUAACCUACCUUUGAACAACCAGCCGUAGAAGUGUUGGAAUAAUUAACUAACAUUAUUUUUAACCAUCAUAAUUUUUAACUACAGGCAAAAGAUUGGUAUCAUCAAGUGGGCAGGAUAUUUUUGGGUGCAACAAUCCAAAUUAAGUAGUUCUGGUGCAGACAAACCGAAUUAAAAGGAAUUUAUUGAUGACUACAAGGUACCAAACUUUUUUUAGUUUAAAUGCAAAACUAAAUUGGUUGAACUAAGGCUGAGGCACCUUGG